AGCUCCACCCCCACCUCUUACAAAGUAAUUCUUUUCUAGUUUUCUGUUUAAUAACAUGCAAUAACACUCUAGCACAAAAAGAUCCUGUUCAGUCACACAUUUUGCACACCCUAGGAGAACCUUCUUUUGAGUUGGAAAGACUGGAAAACUGCUAUGCACAUGAUUUGCCAGCAAAUCAAUAGCUGGAGCCUCUCUCUACUCCCCUCUUUUCUUUUUUCACACGCACAUGCACGCAUAACCCUGUGGUAUUUACCAUCUGGUCUCGGAAUUUAGUAAUUAUUUUCAGUAAUGUUGGCCAAUAUUUGAUUACUUGUUCUGCAUUUCAGAUACCAACUUAUUAGGGUAAAUG
rnacentral:misc_RNA from 1 species